AGCGAACGCUGGCGGCAGGCCUAACACAUGCAAGUCGAACGGAUCCUUCGGGAUUAGUGGCGGACGGGUGAGUAACACGUGGGAACGUGCCCUUUGGUUCGGAACAACUCAGGGAAACUUGAGCUAAUACCGGAUGUGCCCUUCGGGGGAAAGAUUUAUCGCCAUUGGAGCGGCCCGCGUCUGAUUAGCUAGUUGGUGAGGUAAAGGCUCACCAAGGCGACGAUCAGUAGCUGGUCUGAGAGGAUGAUCAGCCACAUUGGGACUGAGACACGGCACGAACUCCUACGGGAGACAGCAGUGGGGAAGCUUGCGCAAUGGGCGAAAGCCUGACGCAGCCAUGCCGCGGGAAUGAUGAAGGUCUUAGGAUUGUAAAAUGCUUUCAAUGGGGACGAUAAUGACGGUACCCACAGAAGAAGCCCCGGCUAACUUCGUGCCAGCAGCCGCAGUAAAAC
rnacentral:rRNA from 1 species